AUUUCUUAUUUAACUGAUCUAGUGUUAGAUAACUUUCUGAAGCCAUUGUCUCUUGAUAAUUCCUGGUAGCAAAUUGAAUUACAAUUUCAGUUAGAAAAUAAUAAAUAGAACGAACACACAUAAGCAUAAUUAAACGUAUUAAAGUAGUAAAUUGGCGUUGACAUUAACUUAUGUACAACAUCAUAACUAAUUAUAUAUUGUAUGUACAAACUCCUAAGCAUUAUUGUGGCAAUAACUUACGUGCCCAACAUGACAAUAAUGAAAAAAAAAUUAACAUCAGUUUAUAAGAAGAAAAGAACAUGCGAUGACCAAAAAACCCACCUAAUAUUUUUCUUUAUGCUUACUGAUCAAAUAUGAGAAGUGUCAAAAUAUGAGAGAGCUUAGUCCUAUAUAUAGAUGUGAAUAAUUGUAGUUCCUUUUGGUUUAUGAUCUUUUUAAUUAGGAUUUGAAUAAAGGAAAAUUAACAUUAAACACUCUUUUACAAUUUUUUGGUUUAAAAGUUUUAAAAAGGAUAAUUACUAUUAAUAUUUUUUCAGUUAUCUUUUCUUUAUGAUUUUAGAAAAGGAAAAUUAGUAUUAAAUAAAUUAUUUGUACAAAUCGUGUUUGGUAUAGGAUUUGUAAAAACGAAAAAUUUCUAUUACUUUUUUCAAAAAAUCAGAUUUUAAUAAAAGAAAAUUAACAUUAAACACUCUUUUACAAAUUUUUGGCUUUAGAAUUUUAAAAAGGAUAAUUACUAUCAUUUUUUUACAGUUAUCUUUUCUUUAUUAUUUUAGAAAAGGAAAAUUAUUUGUACAAAUUUUUUUUGGUUUAUGAUUUUAGUAAAGGAAAAUUAGUAUUAAAUAAAUUAUUUGUACAAAUCGUUUUUGGUAUAGGAUUUGUAAAAACGAAAAUUACUAUUAUUUUUUUCAAAAAAUCAUGUUAAUAUGUGAAUAAUUAUAGUUUUUUAUGAUAGAAAAAGAAAAUUAGUAUUAACACAUGUCACAAUCUUAAUUAUAUAAUUGGCUUGUGUCGCGAUCAUAUUAAUUAGAAACUUUAAGAACCAAUAAAAGAAAAUUAACAUUAAACACUCUUUUUUAACAAUUUUUUGGUUUAAGAUUUUUAAAAAGGAUAAUUACUAUCAUUUUUUUACAGUUAUCUUUUUUUUUUAUGAUUUUAGGAAAAAAAACAAUAUUAACACAUGUCACAAUCUUAAAUAUAUAAUUGCCAUGUAUCAAGAUCGUGUUAAUUAGCAACUUUAAAGAACCAAGCUUUAUAUAAUAAGAUAUAUUUUUAAAAAAUUUUUUUGCUUAGUUCAGUAUGAAAUAUGCAUUAUUAUAAAGUUUGUGAAUGAAAAAGCACCGACGCGUAAAGUUUAUGUAGCAUUUUUUAAUUUUGGGUUUAGUUCAGUAUGGCAUACGCACUCAUACAAAGUUCAAAAAUGAACAAGUACAAUGCAUAAAGUUCAGGUUCAGAUAUACCUUUUUUGUCAUAAGGUUGAAUUGAAAUAUACCAUUUUACCUUAUGUUAGGCGAAUGUUUUUGGGUGAGCGGUAAUGUAAUUUCAGAAAAUACGAGGACCAAAUCGCAAUUUAUUAAAAGGUUAAACUUCUUAAAAUUGGGUUUUGAAGCCUAUUAAAUUACCCGGAUAUGAUGAUUACGUGUCGCUAUCCAAAUGGGCUUUGAUGAUGUAGUUUCUUGAGGAAGUUUAUUUCAGUGUGAAUUUGUGGGUGCGAAGGUCCAAAUACACUUUUGAUAAUAUAGAUAUUAGGGUGGAUUUUGAAAUCUCGAUACUAUAAAAAUUAACUCGCAGUUAAGUCACCAAGUUACCGUUAGAGCAAAUAAAAAAAAGAGAGAAAAUAAUAGAAUUUAAUUUAUGACCGUUGGAGACAAGACGAUCAAAUCUCCAGCCUCGCCUAUAAAUAAAGACCUCCUCUCUUACAGAACCUUACACUUGUCUUCUUCCUCUCUUACAGAACCUUAUGUUUGUCUUCAUUCUUUUUUUGUUUUUGUCUUGCAAGAGCGAUUUUCUUUGGUGUUUUUUCACCUUUUCACGGAUGAUUGUUGAUUGAUCUCUGCCAUGUCUCUACGAGCUACAACGUCUUCAAGGUGUUGAUCGUUCUUCACGCGGUUUAUCAGGUCUUCUCUUUUCUUAUUUUACAAACUUGUUUUUCUUUCUACCAAACAUGUUUUCUCUGUAUUGAUUUUUUUCUCAAAUUGUUUUUUUUUUGGGUCAAAAUUCUCAAAUUGUUUUUUAAAAACAUGUUUUCAAGGUUUUUAGGGAAAUUUUAUAUAACUUGAUUGAUCAGUGAAGAGUUAAGUGUGAAUUUGUGAAAUAAAUAGAGUGGGCUAUCCGAUCACUAUAUAUGAUUGGUUAGAGGUAUUAUCCUUUCUCCAGUCAUUGUGUUUGUAAGCUGGUAGUAUCCCUUUAUUUGGUUUAACACUUAUGAUCACUAAAUUCUUCUAAUCAAUUCUAGAAACUAUAAAAUUUUCGUUUUUCUAAAAUACGUUUUCAAGGUUUUAGGGAAAUUUUUUAUAGAGCUUGAUUGAUCAUGGAAAGUUAGUGUAAAUUUGUGAAAUAAAUAGAGUGGGCUAUCCGAUCACUAUAUAUGAUUGGUUAAAGGUAUUAUCCUUUCUCCAGUCAUUGUGUUUGUAAGCUGGUAGUAUCCCUUUAUUUGGUUUAACACUUAUGAUCACUAAUUUUUUCAUAAUUGAUUAAAGUUAUUAUAAAAAGUUUCCCUUGUUUUCAGUUCUUUCUUUGAUUUCUUUCUUUUAUUUUGUCUUUUGUUUGUUCCAUAUGAUCGACUUGUCGUUUUGUUGUUUCAGGAUUCCGGUGGAUGCAUGCUUGCUUUGAUUGAUGAUGAUGGCUGUUUUGGUGUUUGGUCCUUCUCUGUUGGCGGUUUGUCAGUUCAGAUAAAACCAAGUGUUGAAAGCUUCUGCUGGCGAGAGAAGGUUUCAAGCUGAGUUGGAUUAGCCUUGGCACAUGAGUUGUUUGUUAUCCUCAUCUUCUUGAGCGAGAAAAACAGAGAGAGAGAGAGAUUAGGAGAUUGAGAGAAUAGAUAAUAUAGAGGAACCGGUUGAGUUGUAAUUUGUGUCUUGUACAAGUUGUAACCUUACAAAAGUUAUUAGUUUUAUCGAAAACAGAUAGAGAUAUAUAUAUACAGAGUUUGUGCAUUUGCCACUUAAAGAAAAAUGAUAUAAACUUAGGCUUCUUUCU